UCAGGUGGUUCCAUAUGCAGAGAGAGAAUGCUGAAUGUAGGGGGCUUUAGAGGUAGCAGCUCAAUGGUUAAGAGCACUUCCUGCUCUCGAGGAGGAUCCAAGAUUGGUUCUCGGCAUUAAAUAGUGGAAGCUUGCAUGGGCAUGUCAAAGCAAAGAGAGGCUAGACUGUGUUGUUGAUGAUGAUCAUCUCUUCCGAACUUGGUUACCUCAGCAAGUGACACCACCAUCCUUCAAGAAACGGAUCUUGCUUGUUACCAACAAGCUAUGGCCUGUUACCAAGCUAUGGUUUAGUCUUCCAAAAGAAAUCUUUACAGUGUUUUAAGGACCUCCUGGAAAUGUAUUCAUUUGGAACCUAAUCACAUUUCUCAGAAGUUAUUCCUUUUCAGAGUAGAAAAAUUACCACCUUAACCCCCCUUUCUCUAAAUAAAAUAUUAUCUGUAGGUCAAGUGUAUGAAGGGCCAGCUAGUAGUUCUGGGUUUUGUGGGUUUGUGUUCUCUGUUAAAAAGUCAAUCAGAUCCCCAUGUGUUUGCAUCAGGAAAGCAGCCAUAGAUGACCUGUAAAGUAGUAGAAGGGAUUGUAUAAGCAGGGCUAGAGCCGGGCGCUGGUGGCUGGCGCAUGCCUUUAAUCCCAGCACUCGGGAGGCAGAGGCAGAGGCAGGCGGAUCUCUGUGAGUUGGAGCCAGCCUGGUCUACAGAGCGAGUUCCAGGACAACCUCCACGGCAAUACAGAAAAAACCUGUGGGGGGUGUUGAUUUAUAUGCAGGCUUGUGCAUAAUGUGAGUACAGGUGUCAGCUGAGUCCAGAAGAGGGCAUCUGAUCUCAUUUUGCCGGUGAUGGGCAUCUUCAAGGCUCUGGCUAAUACAUGUGAAACUAAACAAGGGUUAGUCUAGGUUGGGAGUUCUCUGUGCUGCAGAUUUGACACUCAUCGUGUAUUCCCAGGCUGGCCUCAAACUUUCUUUGAAGUUGGAGGAUGACCUUGAACAUUCCCCCAUCCCCCAUUCUGGUUUGUAGGUCUUUGCCAUCAGGCACAGGUUGUAUGGUGCUUGGGAUUGAUUGAACUCGGGUUCAUGCUAGGUGAGCAAGUUACCAACCAAGCUACAUCCAUAGAGCCCUUUGCUUUUAUCUUUGCAUCAGAAAUGUGUAUAAACUGACCCCAGCAGGAUGGUCACUGCAAGUUCAAGGCCAACUAGGGAUGGCUAGCAAGACUUGGGGCUGGGGGAAAGAAAGUAGCUUCCCUGCCUACCAUCAUGUUUCUGUACAGUUAGGUUUUGGCGUGGGUAGUGCAUCUGGGUUAGAGAACGACCUUCUAACUCUGUCCUUCUGUAAGGACAGAGCAGACUGAAAACUAUCUCACAAUGUGGGGUCCCAGCUCUCUCUCUGCUCUCAGUCACACAGCCUGUUUCAGUUGACCCCUUCAUUCAUGCAUAGAUAUCCAUCUUUAUCAAUACAUGGGUGUGUUGAGUUUAUGUCCAAUAAAUACUUGUCCUUUUAAAAGGGGGGGAGGCGGGCAGUGAGACCAAUUGAUCAUCAGGUAAGCUGCCGGGUAAUGGAGGAAGAGAAGAGAAGAGACUCUGGGUUUUCUUCUGACCUUCGC
ensembl:lncRNA